rnacentral:rRNA from 2 species
CGCGGUAAUACGGAGGGUGCAAGCGUUAAUCGGAAUUACUGGGCGUAAAGCGCACGCAGGCGGUUUGUUAAGUCAGAUGUGAAAUCCCCGGGCUCAACCUGGGAACUGCAUCUGAUACUGGCAAGCUUGAGUCUCGUAGAGGGGGGUAGAAUUCCAGGUGUAGCGGUGAAAUGCGUAGAGAUCUGGAGGAAUACCGGUGGCGAAGGCGGCCCCCUGGACGAAGACUGACGCUCAGGUGCGAAAGCGUGGGGAGCAAACAGGAUUAGAUACCCUGGUAGUCCACGCCGUAAACGAUGUCGACUUGGAGGUUGUGCCCUUGAGGCGUGGCUUCCGGAGCUAACGCGUUAAGUCGACCGCCUGGGGAGUACGGCCGCAAGGUUAAAACUCAAAUGAAUUGACGGGGGCCCGCACAAGCGGUGGAGCAUGUGGUUUAAUUCGAUGCAACGCGAAGAACC